rnacentral:lncRNA from 1 species
CGAUGAUGCAGGUUAUGGUACGGUCCACUGACCCGUAAAAACGGUUCUACAGGCUGAAAAUCACCAUCCAUCACUAAGCAGCACAGCAGACGCACUUACGCCUCCUGCAGGUUGGUUCUGCCCCCUGCUGGU